rnacentral:rRNA from 1 species
UACGGGGGGAGCAAGCGUUGUUCGGAUUUACUGGGCGUAAAGGGCGCGUAGGCGGUCGUGACAAGUCACUUGUGAAAUCUCUGAGCUUAACUCAGAACGGCCAAGUGAUACUGCAGUACUAGAGUGCGGAAGGGGCAAUCGGAAUUCUUGGUGUAGCGGUGAAAUGCGUAGAUAUCAGGAGGAACACCGGUGGCGAAGGCGGGUCUCUGGGCCGAUAUUGACGCUGAGGAGCGAAAGCGUGGGGAGCGAACAGG